GGAGGAUUGGCAGAAUGGUAUUGCAGCGGUCUUGAAAACCGUCGCCGAAAGGCUUGUGGGUUCGAAUCCUACAUCCUCCG
rnacentral:tRNA from 1 species